AUAGGAAAAAUUCCUAUAGGAAAAAUUCCUAUAGGAAAAAUUCUUAUAGGAAUUUUUCCUAUAGGAAUUCCUAUAGGA